rnacentral:misc_RNA from 1 species
GUGAAUCAUCAAAUCUUUGAACGCAAAUUGCACUCCCUGGUAUUCCGGGGAGUAUGCCUGUUUGAGGGUCGUUAGAAGAAAAAUCGAAGCAUCGCUCUUUUUUUGAGGGUGAUCGCAUCGGAAUUGAGCCGUCUUUCAAAUGUUAAUUCAUGUCAAAGUGGCUUAAAAUUCAUCCAUCCGGUACGAUUAAAGCGUAUUUAAGAUCAAUUUUGAUUAAGAACGCGCGAUGAACGUACCAUCUCAUGUAGUACGUUUGACUUGACGUCGUCAGGAUCAUUUCGUAUACGAUGCUCAACUUUCG